rnacentral:lncRNA from 1 species
UUUUUAGCGACGCCUUUCCCAACUUCCAAAUCCCGAACUGAUCCCAAGCGAUAAGCUCCCAGUAAGAACUGUACAUGGAGGACGGAAUUCCCAACAAUACUUUCGCUACGCAACCCGGCGGUGGCGACCGCAUCAAGCUCAACGUCGGGGGCAAGCUUUUCGAGACUACUGUCUCCACCCUCCGGUCUGGCGGCCCGGAUUCCCUAUUAUCUGCUCUUUCAAACCGACCGAAUCAGGACUCGGUGUUCAUAGACCGGGACCCGGAGAUCUUCUCUGUCCUCCUCUCUCUUCUCCGGUCCAACCGCCUUCCUUCCACCGCCAAACGCUUCUCUAAUCAGGAGCUUAUUGAUGAGGCUUUAUAUUAUGGUAUUGAGUCGCAGCUCCGAAUGGCACUUGCGCCGUGUCGACUCAAUGGGAUAGAUGCUUCGCUCUUAACCACUCUCAAGCCAUCUUCAGAUGGAAUUGUUUCUGCCUUUAAUGCUAUUGACUCCGACGGGUCCCUAUGGGUCGCCCAUGGCGGCCAGAUCUCCGUCUAUGACUGGAAUCUCAGCCACACAGCCACCGUUCGAACGCACCUAGACUUCAUCACUUCUAUUCGGAGAGUGCAACCCGAGAUUGCUGCGAUUGGGUCAUUAUAUGAGUCGGGCUUACAUUUUUACAAUAUGACCAAUGGGUGCCGAGUAGACUCUGCGGAUUGGGUAGACCCUUCCGAUGUUCGUAUCUAUAAAGCCCGAGUACACGCGAUAGCUGACUCGGAGGACUCCGUCUUCGCAUCCUAUGAUUGUAAGCAUGGUGAGAAUUGUGUUCUGAUGAUAGAUAAGUCGACUUUGAAAAUUUCGUCUGAGAUUGGGAGAAUGCCGGGAACCUCCUCGAAAAACGCUGUCCCAGGAAAGCUGACGUAUGUGCCGGAUAUGGGGAUUUUGGUUGGGAGCUCUGUCACGUCUGGUGCAUUUGGAUACUCCGGUUACAUACGAUUGUGGGAUCCAAGGUCCGGGGAGGUGGUUUGGGAAACAAAUGAGCCGGGCUCUGGCCGAAGCAGCAGGUUUGGGGACUCAUUUGCUGACGUGGAUGUCGACUUGGAUAACCUGGCAUUAUUCAAACUCUGCUCAAAAUCGGGUGAUUUGGCAGUUGCGGAGCUGCGCAAAUUGAGCGAUGAUCCAUGGGUUUAUUUGAAAGAGAAGAAUCCGAGUAUGAGGAAUGUAGGAAUAAGUAGUGGCAUUGCUGGGGGAAAUUUGCUAAUACACUGUUACAGGAAGCAAGUGUUUGUGGGGAGAGAAGGGGAGAUGGAGGUGUGGUCAAGAGUGGAGGAUAAUGCGGAUGGAGAGGGCAUUUUAAGUGAAGGGUUGUGCCGAAGGAAUUAUGUAGAUAAGGUAGAGGAUGCUGAAAGAGGGAUCAUAAAGAAAAUUGAGGGAGGUGGGGAUCGUCUUUUUGUGACUCGAGAAGAUGUUGAGGGAAUUGAGGUGUGGCAGAGUUCGAAUUACUCUGGCGCAGUUUCAGUUUUAUGAUUUAAUCAAUAUAUAGAAGAACGGACUGGUGGUAUGUUAACGUCAAUGGCGUUGUUCAUUUUGUAUUGUGAUAUGGUGGUGGACAGGAUCGUUUAUGCUGAUUAUUCUGGGACGUAGUUUAUCAUUGGAGAAAGAAGUCCAAUGUGGAAUAUAGUUGUUUUUGGAGGUAGGCCUCCUUUUGUUAGUUUGUUUACAAUGAUUUAUUUACCUGAUUUCAUGUUUUUUCAACUUCUUGAUCUGUAUGUUAAGGUGCAUUGUCCUUGUUAUUUAUGGACGUCUAUGUAUUUCUUUCCUCUGAAAUUCAUGUUGAUAAUUAUUAUUUAUUUUCUAGAUUUUAUUCCCAGUAUACAGAACUAGUGAGAGGCAGGAUAAUGAUCGUGGAUUCCUUUAUUGCUGUUGCGGGUGAGUGAUCCAACUUGGAAAUAGUUUUGCCAGAUCAAUAACUAAAGGUUUCUGUUUUUCUUUCAUGCAGUUCCUGAUUGCUUGAUAUGUUCACAAAAAAUGUCUACUAAAUAUAAUUGCCGAUUCAAAAUAUGAAUGCUAUCUAGUCUUUUAAAAUAACAAUCACUCGACACUUGCAGAGGAGAAUAGAGCAAAAUCUUUUGUAUUUUGAGGUGCAGGAAAAAUCUGAUAAAAAUGAGAAUGGCUGUUGUUCCUGUUUGUACGCUUGUGUUCUCUCAAUGCUAUCUAUUAUUCAUAACUUGAUUUAUGGUUUUUAUACAUUUAUUUAGGAUUUAUUUCGUUUCUUAGUGAUCUUUUGGAGUUACUUUAUUUGUUUAUUUUCAACUUGUAGCUGGAAUCAGAAUUUUCAUUUGACUAAGAUUUAAAGGUUCAAGCUUCAAAUUUAUGGUAAACAAAGUCACCUAGAAAGUAUGGCUGCUGGUUGACGUUAUUAAUAUGUGGUCAUGACUUUGGCUGGCUAUAGUGCUAUUAGGUGGUGUUAGGUUUAUUCCGAGCUGAUACAAAGCAGUAAUUCUAAUUCUGAUUCAAUAAAUGCCCAUGUAAAUAAACAUAUGCACGUAGAAGCAGACAAAUCAUGUGAAGAUUUUUGAAAUAUUAAAAAAUGGAACAAAAUUAGGCAUCACUGAAGGGAAAAUUUAAAGAAAAUAUUAGUUAUCCCAUGGGAAAAAAAGGUGGUGGAAAAAGCCUAUUCUCGGUCUUUCUACUUAAAGCAAUUGAGUGAGAGGAAUGGGAGUACGCAAAUAAUGAGAUUACAAUUUUCUGAUUCACUGCAAUUGGUGAUCUAGAUAGCUAAUUACGUACAAUCUAUUUUGAGUUAACCUCAUUGGAAAUCAUGUUUGGGAGGGGGAAUCAGUGACUUGUGGCAGCUUCAACUGUCUAAUAGUGAUACAGAGUGUCAAUCCGAAUCCAUCUUUAGCCAAUUGUGAAUCGUAUGCAGUCAUAUGUCCAGUGAGACAGUCAAAGAAACUUCAAAUAUAGAUUUGUUCUUUCUUUGUAAUAAACUCAUUCUAGUCAAAGAUGAUUAAUAUUAAGCAACGAAAACACUAUUAUGCUGUAUAUGUUGCAGCAUGAUCACUUUGGCACUUGUCUUCAGUGGCUCGUGUCAAGAAUGUGCCCAUAAUGAAGACCUAGAGUUUAAAAUUUCCUGGCAUGUGUAACUUAAACGUAAAUAAUGGGUUACCAUAGUUUAGUUUGUUUCAGUCGUUCAGGGGCAAGAGGAGCAGGAGACACCCUGACAUCCUCAUUGCCUUGAUCUCAGUGGGUCAGUUAAGAGGUUCCCCUAUACAAUGUCUUUUACCCACUGGGUUUGCAACGAGUGUAGACCUGCAAAUUGAUUAGUAUACCAUAGCCGGCUUCGCAUUAUAGUUCAACUAAAAUUGUUUUAUUCAUCUUGUCGUUAUACUUGUUCUGUCAUUUGGGCCUCAAACUCACAGUUCAUUUUUAUUAGUGAUAUCCAUAUGGCUACUAACUCAAGAAGUUAAUAAUCUAAAGAAUGAGACUGAACUUGAGACUGUUUUUACAAGCCACUCAAUUAGGUACAUAUUUGCAUUAACUAUAUUCUUUCACGAGAGUUUAGCUCGAUUUUGCAUUUUCUGGGGCUUUUAAGCCACUCAUUGUCUGGCAUUUAGGUGACUAAUAAAAUCAAUCUUUAGAUUAUUGCCUUCUGGUAACAAUAUACUUCUACAUUUUGAAACCCCACUUAUCUUGGAACCUGCUUUCAUAGAAGUUCCACUAUCUGCUCCUCAAUUUGUAUGGACCAGACUUUUGAUGAAAGAAUGUUUUCAAGAACUGUUCAGCAUAAUAGAAUUUUAUAUUAUCUACACGUUUGUGAUUCCUAUGUACAAUUUGCAUCAAUCUUGUCGUAGUUUUGCAUCCAUAUCUCCCUGCAACGCUCUCUAUAGAUGUGGUUGGAGUAGUGGUCAGCACAUAAAACUUGCUGGCUCUUUACUGUUCAGCAUAAAAAAUAGAAAACUUUGAUUCAUUUGCUUCUUGAACAACAAAGAACGACUCAAUUUUGAAGAUAAUUGUGUUGACUAUCAUUCCACGUUCUUUCACGAUAAAUUGACUUUAGCUCUCGGCUAGGAGCUGCUGCAAUAUUUAUCUCUUUGUUCCUUGGAAAGUGGCGUUCUAGUUCUCCGUGCAUGUUGGCGUUCUAUUUUGAUUUGAUUUACCAAACCAAUUGUUGAAGGAGUGUUAAGAAGUUGAUAUUAUCGGUGUUGUUCCCAUUCCUUGAACUGGGGAUUGCUUGUUAGUAAAUUCUCUUUCUAAAUAUGGUGCAAUAAAAAAUAAUUUUUGGAGCUGUUGCUUCAAAAUUUUUAUUAAGUUGCAUAAACAUAAAUUCUCAAAUUUCUAUUUCUUAAAAAUAAAUUGAAGACCUAUAUAAAUUUUUUUUUUUUUUCAACACAAGUAAAAUAAUUAAAAUAUUUUUAAGGAAUGUUACUUUGAUCGACCAAGCUGAAAGACAGGCACAUUUCCAAAAGCCAUGCCCCUACCGCUAGUGAAGUUCUGGUCUUUCCCCCCACCUUUGUGUUGUGCUCAUGUCCUCCUUUCGUGCCUUUAGAUCCACUCGUUGGAGAACAAAUAGAAGGUUUGUUUGUUGGGCUUAUCGCCCUCGUUCUCUUUCAGGCCGUUCAACCAAUCGAUCCAAUCCUGGAGAGUUGCUUUUGCUAAAACUCGAGCGACCGCGAGGAAGGCCCUAGACGAGUGAUUGACUAACCAUCAGGCUCUUUAAACCUUGCAGGGUCAAUGCACUCUUUCAUUUGCUUCUUCUUUUCAGAAGCCUUGACAGCAUUUAACAUAUAUUUUAUUUGAACCAAAUUAUAAUUAAUUAUUUAUUCCGAUCCCAAUUGAAAAUAAAUGCCCAUGCACGUAGAAGUGGACAAAUCAUGUAAAGACUUUUGAAAUAUUACAAAUUGGAACAAAAUGAGGCAUCACCGAGGUUAAAAUUUAAAGAAAACAUUAGUUAUCAGGCGUGGGAAAGAAGCAUCGGCCAAGGACAUUUAUUCUCAUCAGAUGGCCAAUUGAAAUUAGUUGGAUAUCACGAUGCAAAUUGGGCCGAUGCUCAAGUAAAAGGUUGUCAGUAACGGUGUAUUGUAUAUUUGUAGACAAACUACUAGUGUCUUAGAAAAACAAGAAGCAAACUAUAAUGUUCAAGUCUUAAGCAGAAACAAUCAUACUACAGUGUCAGAAUCAUUGAUAUAAUAGUUGACAUAAUGUUGCAGGACGCUCUAUCAAUGAAUUGUUUAAAACAAAUUCAAUUCCACCAAAUCAUUUUCCACCACAUAGGAAUCUGUUACUGCUUCUGUCACCGUUCAUCUGCCAAAGAAGCAUAAUUGUAAGCAGAAGCCUAAUGUAGGUCUAAGGCAAUAGUCACGUCCUCAGUUGACUAAGGUACUUGCUAAAAGACUCAGUUGUUAAGACCAGAAAUUAAAAACUCGCACCACGUAAGAACCAAAUUGAAGUCGAGCUGAUUAGUUUCCAAAUUUUUGUGUGUGACUAUACAAUUUUUGUAGCAUCUACAUACUUGGAUCGUGAAAAUACCAUUGAUUGUACAAAAUCAUGCAAGUGUAAGAUAUUGUAGACAAAUACUAUAAUGAUGAAUAAAUUAUCGUCCCUCGAAGAAUAUGUAUCUACCCUAAUGUUAAUUAAUAGCAACUCUAGUCAAAAAACCAAUUUUUGAUUGUGAAUGUUAUACUAAUCUAUCUAUUUAAACUAAUUAUUUUAAUGAGCAACCUACGAAAGCUUUUGUGGCAUUACAAACUAGUCUCAUAAGUCUCGCUAUCUCUCGAGUUCAAUUAUGAACGUCAACGUCAUCUAAUUGUUGUCAUUAACCUAGUAUUCCUUAGAAUUUAUUUUCUAGGCCCAAGAGAUCAUUAAUAGACAUAUAAAUGCUGAAAUCACAUUAAAUAUCGAAAUGGACAGAAUCUGUUUUCAGAUUUUCAUUACCGUCCAAUUAUUUUUCCAAUCCUUUUUUACCUCCUUAACUAUAUUCGACGACUCCCAAAUUCUUACCACUCACCUAUAACAUAUAUGUGAAGAUAAUCAUGUCAUAAUAUUGUGACAAAUGAAGGGUUUUGAGCUUCAGAUAAAAUGUCUCUUCGGAUAUUUUCUGCAUCAGGUACAUAUAAUCGUCCUCUAAACCACAAGAUACCAUAUGCUAAUAUAUGAAAAUCUGAAACUUUUCCAUCAUCUAUAUCAUUUUUUAUCUUGGAACAAUAAUCAUCUUCCUGUUGCCUUUGCUGAAUUCUAUUCAAUAAAGUUGGCUGAAGUGUCAAUGUUGCAAGUUUAGUCUCUACAAAUCCUUGCGACACAACUUCAAUACCCAUUUUUUUGUAAAUCUAUCAAUUCUGAUUUUUUAGUUACAAUCAUACUCGGAACACUGGAUGUCGACUUCGUACUUAAUGCAUCAACUACAACAUUAACCUUACCGGGAUGAUAGUUUAUAACACUAUCAGAAGAUUUACAUAGCUUCGAUAAGAAGUUCAUUGUACAUCAUAUGAUGGUUAUGGUCAUUGAGUAUGUAGUUGUGACACUUAUUGACAGCAAUUUUCAUUAAAUAUGUCAUUCAUGAGCAUUUUCAUAUGCAUGCAUGACAUGUGAUCAUGGUUGAAAAUCUUGCAUGUGAAACAUGAUCUCAAAGUUAGUUUUCUUUAUAUAUAUUUUAUUGACCACUACUAGGGCACCGAGACAUGUGAGGCAUGCAUCGCGAGUGAUACUUCCUAGGUGAUUGCAAAGGUAGAUAAGGGAUGUGCCUUUGGUGAUCACGGGAGGGUGGACCACUCGAUUAUGCCCUUAUGAUAUUAUGAUUAUUGGCACUGUCGGGUGGGAGACUUCUUGGGUGAUCAUAGGGGUAGUUAGGGAAUGGGCCUCUAGUGGUCAUGAGAGGAUGGUUCACUUGCCGGUGUCGAUUUCAUAUUGAUCAUUUGAUUAUUGAUAUUGAUAUUAUGCAGAGCUCUAUUCGGUGCAUAGUAGGUGGGUCAAGGGCCCAAUGAAAUGAAAGAUUUCAAAUGAAAUGAUUUCGAGUCGACUUUGAUGCAUAUUGGAAUAUGAUGAUUUUUUAUCGUAACGUUUAAAGUAAAUGACAUAGUGGCAUAUAUCAUUAUUAUUCAUAUUCAUGACAUGCAUGAUUUUUGCUUACUUUGUAGGUG